rnacentral:piRNA from 1 species
UGAAGGUUCCUCAGUAAAACACUGUG